rnacentral:rRNA from 1 species
UACGGAGGGUGCGAACGUUAAUCGGAAUCACUGGGCGUAAAGCGUGCGUAGACGGUUAUGUAAGUCAGGUGUGAAAGCCCCGGGCUCAACCUGGGAAUUGCAUUUGAGACUGCAUAGCUAGGGUGCGGAAGAGGGAAGCGGAAUUUCCGGUGUAGCGGUGAAAUGCGUAGAUAUCGGAAGGAACAUCAGUGGCGAAAGCGGCUUCCUGGUCCAGCACCGACGUUCAGGCACGAAAGCGUGGGGAGCAAACAGG